UACGUAGGGAGCAAGCGUUGUUCGGAAUUACUGGGCGUAAAGGGUUUGUAGGUGGCUUGUUAAGUCAGACGUGAAAUCCCUCAGCUUAACUGGGGAACUGCGUCUGAUACUGGCGAGCUUGAGUGCAGGAGAGGAACGCGGAAUUCCAGGUGUAGCGGUGAAAUGCGUAGAUAUCUGGAGGAACACCGGUGGCGAAGGCGGCGUUCUGGACUGCAACUGACACUGAGAAACGAAAGCCAGGGUAGCAAACGGG
rnacentral:rRNA from 1 species